UACGGGGGGGGCAAGCGUUGUUCGGAAUUACUGGGCGUAAAGGGCUCGUAGGUGGCCAACUAAGUCAGACGUGAAAUCCCUCGGCUUAACCGGGGAACUGCGUCUGAUACUGGAUGGCUUGAGAUUGGGAGAGGGAUGCGGAAUUCCAGGUGUAGCGGUGAAAUGCGUAGAUAUCUGGAGGAACACCGGUGGCGAAGGCGGCAUUCUGGACUACAACUGACACUGAGGAACGAAAGCUAGGGGAGCGAACGGG
rnacentral:rRNA from 1 species